rnacentral:rRNA from 1 species
CCGGCGCCCGUUGACCCAGCCUCGCUUGGCCUCUCCCGUGCUAGAUCGCAAGGCCCAGCGGGCCACCUCACCCAGCCGCCCUGCUAGGCCUCUCCAUCAGCUUGGGCUUGACCCAAUUGUGCUUCUUCGGGUUGGUUCCGUUCACGUCACGUUUGUGAGGAUUCAUUCGACUUCGUCCGUUUGUCUUCUUCAUGGACCAGUUCUUCUUCCUUGUGGGAUCUCAGUUGCAGGUGCCGAUGAUACCAGUGCAGGUGACGCAACCCAGCUCAGUUGGGAGCUCGAUGAAGAUCAUGUUCGUUGUGUUGUUUCGUUUCCUUUCGAUCAGUAGUGGAGCCCUGUCGGGGCGAUUGGGGAUCUAGCAUUAGGGGUGGUCUUCUUUUAUUUUGGUUCCGUAGUCGGACCUUGAUUGUAUUCUGGAUGAUGUAAUGCUAUAUUUAUGUAUUGUGUGAAGUGGCGAUUGUAAGCCAACUCUGUAUCCC